rnacentral:tRNA from 1 species
GCGGGUAGCUCAGUGGUAGAGCACGUGACUUUUAAUCAUGUGGUCGUGGGUUCGAUCCCCACCCCG